UGCAGUCAAGGAACAGUAGUGCCUG
rnacentral:piRNA from 1 species